GAUAGAUCAUCUAGCUUAUCUUAAAGUUUUAAUCUUAUAUAUACUUAAAGAUAUAGAAAUAAUAGAUAUUAAGAAAAUAAUAUUAGAAAAAGUAAUAGACUAUGAAAUUGAAAUCAUAAAUUGGCUAGAACAGUUAUACGAAGAAAUUUAUCCAGAAAGAUAUUAUUCAGAUUAAGAGAUGUUAGAAUAUAUUAGAAAAAUUAGAGAAAAUCAAGAUAAUCUAGAUAAUGAAAUUAAUUAUAGAAACCGAAUUAGAAAAAUAAUGGAAA
rnacentral:lncRNA from 1 species